CCCGAAAGGUCGAAGGCGGAGAUUCAACUGUCUAAUCGUUUGUGUCGGCGUCGUCGGGGCGCAUUUUCGUGCAAAACUGAGACGAUGGCGCGUGCGUUUCUUCUGAAGCGUGUCGCACUUCGCUCGGCCUCGACGCACGAGACCUGACCGCGAAGGCAUGCACUUCUCCGUCUGUAGGACGUCGCGACCCGUUGGGCGUCGGUCUAAGGCCCGUCUGGGAGACUGUUCUCGCGCUUUGCGGCGCGAGUGACAGACCGACGGUGGUUCUUUCCCGGCCGUGCGCUCGACGGUAUUAUCGAACGGACGGCGUUGGGUCGCGUCACUUAUUGCGACGCGUUCGAUCGUCCGCAAGUGCGUGCGCGUUAGUCGACUUCGUGUCGCCGGCGGUCGGACCUGGUGCCGGCCCCGGACGCGCAUCACUGUUGGCGUUGUGCGAAUCCCGAACAGGCCCAAGCCGGCGCGCUUUACGGCGCGUCGGCACGCCGUGUCGGCGACGCUAUAGCUUUGGGUACUUUCAGGACCCGUCUUGAAACACGGACCAAGGAGUCUAGCAUGUGCGCGAGUCACUGAGAAUUAUAUUAAACUCAAAGGCGUAAUGAAAGUGAAGGCACGUCGAUUUUACACGACGGUAGCUAAGGGAGGAUCGGUCGCGCUCUCUAUGACCGCGGCCGCGCACUCCCGGGGCGUCUCGUUCUCAUUGCGAGUUGAGGCGCACCUAGAGCGUACACGCUGGGACCCGAAAAAUGGUGAACUAUGCCUGGUCAGGACGAAGUCAGGGGAAACCCUGAUGGAGGUCCGUAGCGAUUCUGACGUGCAAAUCGAUCGUCGGAACUGGGUAUAGGGGCGAAAGACUAAUCGAACCAUCUAGUAGCUGGUUCCCUCCGAAGUUUCCCUCAGGAUAGCUGGCGCUCGCGUUCGCACGGCGCGCGUUUGCGCGCGCGUCGUUUGCGUUCACGAGUCUCAUCUGGUAAAGCGAAUGAUUAGAGGCCUUGGGGCCGAAACGACCUCAACCUAUUCUCAAACUUUAAAUGGGUGAGAUCUCCGGCUUGCUCGAAUCGAUGAAGCCGCGAGAUAAUUAUGGAUCGAGAGUGCCAAGUGGGCCACUUUU
rnacentral:rRNA from 1 species